UAUUCUGCCCCACGGGGAAGGAUGAGAAGCUUCGACUAAGGUUCGACUCGAGCGAAGCGAGAGAACGUUGCCGCAGGCAACGGCCCGAAGGGCGAGGCGCUUUAGCGCCGAGUAAUCCUUCCCCCACCAUCA
rnacentral:sRNA from 2 species